UACAGAGGUCCCAAGCGUUGUUCGGAUUCAUUGGGCGUAAAGAGCUCGUAGGCGGUCUGUUACGUCUGCUGUGAAAACCCGGGGCUUAACCCUGGGCUUGCAGUGGAUACGGGCAGACUAGAGGCAGGUAGGGGAGAAUGGAAUUCCCGGUGUAGCGGUGAAAUGCGCAGAUAUCGGGAGGAACACCGGUGGCGAAGGCGGUUCUCUGGGCCUGACCUGACGCUGAGGAGCGAAAGCGUGGGGAGCGAACAGG
rnacentral:rRNA from 1 species